CUUCAACAAUAUUGCAAGUCCAACAAUGUUGCAAAUCGCUUCUCUCGGACCACAACAAUGUUGCAAAGAGCUUCUCGCGGAACUAUAACAAUGUUUCAAGUUCAACAAUGUUGCAAAUGGCUUCUCCCGGGACUACAACAAUGUUGCAAGUUCAACAAUGUUGCAAAUGGCUUCUCUCGGGACUACAACAAUGUUGCAAAUGUCGAGUCGAUUUUUCGGAUUUUGUCACAUUUUGCCGAACUUCUGAGCUGCAACUAUGUGGGAAUUUUGAGCAGGGUCAAGUUCAACAAUGUUGCAAAUCGUCCCGCUCAAAAUUGUGAUGGAAAAUGCCGGAUUUUUACUCCUGGCAACAGGAGGAGGAGAACAUGAUAUGCGAAGAAGUAUCCAUAAAAUUUAUUUCUAUCUCUAAACUUACCUUUCGUACCGGAUGAUAUGAACUGCGGACGAGAUGUACCCGGGAAAGUAGAAAAUUGAAGGGAAACGUGUGAGGAAAUAAAGAGAAAUGAAGGGAACUGUUGUUAGGUGUUGUCAGGAUGUUUAAGGAGGUGUUGGAAGGUGUCAGGAAUUGUUAGGAAGUGGUAAGAUUUCUCAGGGGAUGUCAGGAGGUGACAGUAGGUAUUAGGAGGUAUUAGGAAAUGUCAGAGUGUGGCAGGAGGUGUUGGGAGAUGUCAGAAAGUAUUAGAAGGUCUCAGGAGGUGUCGACAUGUGCUAUGAGGUAUUAGGAAGCGUUAGGAGAUGUUAGGUAAAUGUUAGAAUGUGUGAGAAAAUAUAAGAUGGACCCAUUGCCUCAUUUUAUAGGCAACCAGAAUUGCAGACAGGCACGGCGGGUUACGCGAAGCUAGGCUCAGGAAAAAUGCCACUAAUAUUUGGCUAUCGAUGUUACAGAUAAGUGCUCUGGAAAGCACAUGCUUGCGAGAUAAAUAAACCUAGUAGUCUAUAUCGUACUGAAUUUGGAUAUAGUUAAGAGAUCU